rnacentral:rRNA from 1 species
CCUACGGGCGGCAGCAGUGGGGAAUAUUGGACAAUGGGGGCAACCCUGAUCCAGCCAUGCCGCGUGUGUGAAGAAGGCCCUCGGGUUGUAAAGCACUUUCAGUGAGGAAGAACGCCUGGUGGUUAAUACCCAUCAGGAAAGACAUCACUCACAGAAGAAGCACCGGCUAACUCCGUGCCAGCAGCCGCGGUAAUACGGAGGGUGCGAGCGUUAAUCGGAAUUACUGGGCGUAAAGCGCGCGUAGGUGGCUUGAUAAGCCGGUUGUGAAAGCCCCGGGCUCAACCUGGGAACGGCAUCCGGAACUGUCAAGCUAGAGUGCAGGAGAGGAAGGUAGAAUUCCCGGUGUGGCGGUGAAAUGCGUAGAGAUCGGGAGGAAUACCAGUGGCGAAGGCGGCCUUCUGGACUGACACUGACACUGAGGUGCGAAAGCGUGGGUAGCAAACAGGAUUAGAUACCCUAGUAGUC